rnacentral:lncRNA from 1 species
AAAAUCUUUAAUUUUCAUAUACCGCAGAAAAUAAAAAUAUAGAUCCGCAGAAACUCAUGUAACAAUCUCAAACCCAUAUCAUAUGAUGGACCGGCUUAGUGCCGGCCCAUAAUAAGACAACCACUGGACAUCCGGCUCUGACUUUAAACAGACACAUAGCGAAUAUGGCGAUGUAUGAAAAUUUGUUAGCGUUCAAUCCUCGCAGUAAAUAACAUUAUCAUAUAUGUACUACAUGUACAUUUUAUUUUUAUUAAAAAUUUAAUGUCUAAAUUUAAAAGAGCGUUAGCUUUUCUUCGUCGCUAUGUAUUUUCGGAAGCUAAUGGUGCAUUAAUAAUCGUGUAUAAACAAAUCACAUAUGUAUCAACAUGUUUAUUUUGAUUUCAUAUUUAACGUCUUGUAUAAAAAGAAAUCAAAC